GGGGCGGUAGCUCAGCCGGUCAGAGCAGGGGACUCAUAAUCCUCCGGUCGUGGGUUCGAGCCCCACCCGCCCCACCA
rnacentral:tRNA from 4 species